UUUGAAUUUUCUAGGGAGGGGGGGUUAGCAUGAUCAAGAGAGGUUUUCUCAGUGGCUAAUAACAGUGAUACAGAUACCUGUUAAUUCCCAAGCUAAAUGUUGAUUGGAAAGUCUUAUAAAACUCAUCUUUCUAGUUCUUUUUGUUUUGUAGAUUUAAAUGUAAAUAAUAACUCCAAAACAUAAUUUUACCAGUGCCUGUGUUGUUUUGAUGAUGUUACUUGAUCACGAGAGUUGUCUCAAUUCAAAGUUGUCUCAAAAAUUGCUUUAUUUUUUCUAAAAAAUGUAUUAUAUAACAUUACUAUUUGUCUUAAUGACUACGCUAGGUACAAUAGUAAUAGGCUUCCAUGGACUUUAGAUAAAAUGAUUGAAUUAACUUUGAAGCCAAACAAACAAACAGAAAUUUUCUGUUUUCACAACUGGGGAUAUGACAGUUUGACACAACAAUCCUAAAUUGAAAGUUGAAAAACACUUCAGUGGUAGAGCAAUCCCACAAUCCCAAUAUAAGAAAAGCUAAAGUUUUUCACUCCCAGACUUUGUUCCUUUGAAAAUAAAAACAUGACCAGUUAACUAAGAAAACACCAUAAUUAAUGUUUAUGGUGUUCACAUAUUUAUUAAUAUCAUCAAAUGAAAUGCCUGUUCGCUUUAGUUCUAAAGCAGCAACAUAUUAAGAAUUUUACUAAACUCUUCCUAUAAUAAGAAAGCUCAGUUUGUGGGUUUUCCCCUUUAAAAAACGAAACACACAACUUUGAUACCACAAACAUUUUAAAAAGCUAAAUCACCUGCCUGAAUAUGAUCUCUAUAAUGGCAACUCAUUGAUAUCACAAAAAAGUAUUAAUUCAGAUCAACUAUAGGGAAGCGUUUCCCAAGUUUACAGGCAUGCCUUACGGCCAACAAAGACUUCUUCAUUUGUUACUUUUCUUAUGUCUGAGUGUAAAUUAAUAGAUCUUGGUGUGUCACUUUUAUAGUUAUAAAUCAGAUUCAUGCCCAAGUCUGCGGCCCUGGAAUCUGGGUCUUUAAGAAAAAGGACAGUGGACAUAUUGGUGCCUGGAAAGUGUGGGUUUCCUAUGAGUUUGUAGGCCGCCUUGCUGUGGACCUAGAUGUAUAACUGAUUUUCACUUGUCUCUACUCUAACGACCGAAUUAAAAUACUUGUCUAUCUCCAAGUCAUUAUAACAUGGAAAAUGUACACUGUCUACACAUCAUGGGCUAUGAAACAGCAGCCUGAACACAUGACAGUCUCAGUAUGUUUGAAAUGUUGGAGCAAAUGGGGUGGUUGGUUUUGAAUUCAUUUGCACUCAUUUUUACCACUUGAGACACACUCAUUAAAGAGCUGUAUUUCAGCUAUGUUAUAUGCUGCCCAUUUAACUGAGCUGGCUUUUCACAGUACUGCUGCCUCUGGCUUUUUAAUUUGCCUUGAACAGGAGUAUUCUUCCAUGUCAUGAACAAUUCAGGCAGGCUUUAUCAGGUAAAGCCAAGUCAUCAGCUCCUUCCACUCAGCUCCUGGGACCUCCAGGUUGGGACUGCAGAUAAAGAUGGGGACUGCAGAUCCCUAAACCGGAGAGCUGAAUCAAGCUCACUUUCUUCAGGGCAGCUGCUCAAGAGCAAUCUGCUCGCACUUAAACCCUUUAAAGCUACAAACAAACUCUGGGAAAGUUACAUCACCGUAAACAAAAACACAGUUGCUUAAAUUAUUAUUAUGCAACACUGUGUCAUUACUCACACAUCGAUACUGCAAUUAUCUUCCCAAUUUGGCAAAUACCACCAUAGCUUGGUAGGCAGCUUGGGGAGAAGUAAAAGUCUGGGAUAAAUAUGUCAAUGCCAGAUUCACCAAUGCGAAAGGUUUCCUACCCUCUUGAAAGACACUCAGGUUUUAUCAUGCAAACAAAGUGAGAAUCCAAAGCUGUCUCCCAAGUCUUUGGAAUACCACAUUUUAAAUGUCAAUGAUUAGUAAGAUCCAUAUGCUCGGCUAGAGAGAAGAGCAAUACAAUCAGGCACACGUGAAAGUGAAAUUCUGGAUGUGCUUUUUAAAAACUCGCAGGCAUCAAUACACAUUUGGUAACUAAUUUGUUAAUCAGCCUACCCCUUCCCCCGCCAGAGGUGUGUGCACCCACUGGGUUGUGUCUGCCCCAGGUCAUCUCCAGUAAGGAGAAUGCCCCCACCCCACGCCUGCUGCUGUUCACCGCUGCAACGCUGGGUGUUUAAAAAGACAAAUCAAAUGUCCCGGACCCAUUUUUAGCAAAAGGAUUUGGAAACCAGAUGAAAAGGACCAGUUUGUAAAAAGAAGGGGAAAAACUGGUAACUACUUGUCCUAAGAAAAGAGCAAGACUGAGGGCAAAUGACCGACACAAGUGCCUAUGACCAUUUUUCUCCUUGGGCUGUAGCAGAGCUGACAGUAGAAGGUUGGGGGUGAGGGGUGCGGGAGAGAUACAGGGAAGAAAAAGGGUUUCAAGCACCGUCUCCCGGUUCGCAAAGGUCUGGCCUCCUCAGUGCUCAGGAAGAGGUGGUAGCCAUUUUCUUUCUUUUCCUUUUUGUUUAACGUAAAAGGAAAAUAAACCAGAAAAGGUAUAUCUCCCUGCACCAACAGCUCAGCUCCUCUCUCAAAAGGAAAAAAAAAAAAAAAAAAAAAAAAAAAAAAAAAGUAUUUUAACAAUCUCAGGUACAAAACCCAAUCCACAUGCUUCCAAUGAGGCUUCUGGAGUCAACUGGAUUCGAUUUGGUGACCGCACUGAUGGAGACGUGAUCUUGAAAAAUCAAUCCGUGCUCGCGCCCCCACUCCGCCUCCGCCGCCGCCGCCGCCGCAGUGGCCACAAAAUUAGCGGCUCCGAGGACGUUUUUGCCGCAGUGCACGUCCGCAGUAACCGCCGAGCACUCGGGUGAAUAAUGCCAGUACAGUGCGCAGACGAUCGGGCUGAUUUAUCACGUAAAAUAAUUCACUGCUUCAGUCUGGCUCUUGGUCCUGUCACUUUAAAUCACAAACGCGCGUCUACACAGUUCUAUAGGCGCCCACACAUGCAUGGUACACGUGUGUGCGUGUGUGUGUGUGCACGCUGCGCGCAGGGCCAAGUGGAAUGAUUCCAGAUUGCUUCACGUAUAGGAAAGGGAAAAAAAGAGCAAAAGAGCUCGUCACCCCAAACGCUAACCCCACCUUUUGCAGCAUGGACAAGUGGCUUGUAAUGCAGCUUGGAGCAGAAUAAAGUCUGAACAAAACUAGACUGUGAGACUAGCACGUCCCAGAGUGAAAGUGAGUGACGUUAACGCAGACUCGGUAAAGACUCGGAUCACUUGCAGGCAAAACUAAUCCACCCCCCCCUUUUUUUUAAUAAAAGAAAGAAAAGAAAAUCAUUAAUUAGGUUCAGAUCUAAAAUGCUGCUUUGAAAACGCACGCACAUGUUGAAGACUCUGGGACUGUAAUUUCUUGGGUAAACAUCUGGUGAAGACAUUCCAGGAACACAUCUGAAAGGAAGAAAGGCAUCAAGGAAACGGACUUCAAGCAAAAUAAUCAACUUUAUGUAGUUUAUUUUUAAACUCCUCUAUUUUCAGUAGCUCAUUUUCUUCCUUAACUAAGUCACACCGCUUUGUUCGAGUUCACAUCUACCUCUCCCACGUGUCCCCACUAACCGACUCAGUGAUUCGCACCCAGCGAGACCGAAGGAGUGGAAACCGUCCUGAAAGGAGCCCUGCCGGCAUUUGGUCCCAGGGUAAAGCGCUCCAUUUCAGAAGUUCUGAGAAAAGUGUCUUCUUCCGAAACUACCAGUGGAGCAAAUCAUUUACCUAAUUCAUUCAAGAGCCUCCAUAGGAAGGACUUUGGAGCCUGAUGAUCCUCAUAAUUCGGUACUAAUGAAAACCCCUUUGGCCCUUCGCUUUCGGCCCCGCGAGAGACGGCAUCCGCUCCCAGGACGAGAAGAGCGGGCCUGGCUCGCGGCGGCCCCUCCCCAUCUAACCCCAGAUGGCACAACCCGAGAGCACAGCGACGACGGCGGCGACUCCAGACGCCGCCCGUGCCACCGUCCUAUCCGCCACUGUGCCACUCUCGCCCCCUCUCCUCCAGCGCGGGCCCCUCCCGCUUUCCCUUCCUUCUCACCCUCCCCAGGGCUUUUUAUGGGGGUAAGAGGUAAAUUGGGAAUAUUUCCUCUGUCGCGAAACAUUCUCCUUCCUCAGCCAUCUCCCACUCGGGCGGAUUGGAAUUAAAAUCCGGUAAUUCAA